rnacentral:rRNA from 1 species
UUGGAGGGCAAGUCUGGUGCCAGCAGCCGCGGUAAUUCCAGCUCCAAUAGCGUAUAUUUAAGUUGUUGCAGUUAAAAAGCUCGUAGUUGAAUUUCGGGAUUAGUACGUCGGUCGUGCCUUAGGUACGUACUGGUGUUACUGGUUCCUACCUUCUGACGAACCAUCAUGUCAUUAAUUUGGUGUGGUGGGGAAUCAGGACUGUUACUUUGAAAAAAUUAGAGUGUUUAAAGCAGGCUCGCGCUUGAAUACAUUAGCAUGGAAUAAUGAAAUAGGACGUUGAUCCUAUUUUGUUGGUUUCUAGGAUUGACGUAAUGAUUAAUAGGGAUAGUUGGGGGCAUUAGUAUUCAAUUGUCAGAGGUGAAAUUCUUGGAUUUAUUGAAGACUAACUACUGCGAAAGCAUUUGCCAAGGAUGUUUUCAUUAAUCAAGAACGAAAGUUAGGGGAUCGAAGACGAUCAGAUACCGUCGUAGUCUUAACCAUAAACUAUGCCGACUAGGGAUCGGAUGAUGUUAAUUUUUUAAUGACUCAUUCGGCACCUUACGGGAAAC